GAAACACAGACUACAUGCUGUCCCCCAUCAUUCUGUGGGUGGCUGUGGCCUUCAUCUACUCUGGAUCCAGUGUGGCCCAGAAAAUGACUCAAGUUCAGUCAGCUGAAUCAAAGCCAGAAGGGGAAGCAGUCACCCUGGAUUGCUCCUAUGAGACAACUUUUAGUUCAUACUAUCUUUAUUGGUACAAGCAACUUCCCACCGGAGACAUGAUUUUUAUUAUUCAUCAUCGUUCUUCUGAGUCGAAGACAGCAAAGAGCGGCCGCUAUUCUCUCAACUUCCAGAAAGUAGCUAAGUCCAUCAGCCUUACCAUCUCAGCUUUAGAGAUGGGAGAUACUGCGAAGUAUUUCUGUGCUCUUGGUCAACACAGUGUUUGA